GUGGCUGGCGGCUGGGUGCCUUCUACUGGUGCUGUGCAGAGGCUUUCUCUAAGGCUGCUGUGAGCCUGUAGGGUUUCCCCCUAGGCUACUAAGCUGG
rfam:Equus caballus chromosome 2, whole genome shotgun sequence.